AGCUCUCAGAAUGCAUGGAAGUGUUGCUGCGGUUAAAAGGCUCGUAGUCGGAUUGGGCGGGGGCGCAGUGGUACUGCGGUAGGCUGGGCCCCCGGCGGGCGCCGCAGUGGGCGGCGCCCCAGCACCUUGAAGAAAUCGGAGUGCUCAAGACAGGCGGCAGCGCCUGGACGAUGGCGCAUGGAAUGGCAGAAGAGGGUCUCGGUCCGGUUCUGCGGGUUGGAGGGCAGAGACAAUGAUAAAUAGAGGCAGACGGGGGCAUCGGUACUUCUGCGUGAGAGGUGAAAUUCGGGGACCGCAGGAAGACGAGCGACAGCGAAGGCAGUUGCCAAGCCUGUGUUCA
rnacentral:rRNA from 1 species